rnacentral:rRNA from 1 species
AUUGAACGCUGGCGGCAGGCCUAACACAUGCAAGUCGAACGGUAACAGGAAACAGCUUGCUGUUUCGCUGACGAGUGGCGGACGGGUGAGUAACGUCUGGGAAACUGCCUGAUGGAGGGGGAUAACUACUGGAAACGGUAGCUAAUACCGCAUGACGUCGCAAGACCAAAGAGGGGGACCUUCGGGCCUCUUGCCAUCGGAUGUGCCCAGAUGGGAUUAGCUAGUAGGUGGGGUAACGGCUCACUUAGGCGACGAUCCCUAGCUGGUCUGAGAGGAUGACCAGCCACACUGGAACUGAGACACGGUCCAGACUCCUACGGGAGGCAGCAGUGGGGAAUAUUGCACAAUGGGCGCAAGCCUGAUGCAGCCAUGCCGCGUGUAUGAAGAAGGCCUUCGGGUUGUAAAGUACUUUCAGCGGGGAGGAAGGGAGUAAAGUUAAUACCUUUGCUCAUUGACGUUACCCGCAGAAGAAGCACCGGCUAACUCCGUGCCAGCAGCCGCCGUAA